rnacentral:rRNA from 1 species
UACAGAGGGUGCGAGCGUUGUCCGGAAUCACUGGGCGUAAAGGGCGCGUAGGUGGCGCUCCAAGUCUGUGGUGAAAGCUCGAUGCUCAACAUCGAGUCGGCCAUAGAGACUGGAGGGCUCGAGCACUGUAGGGGCAGAUGGAAUUCCGGGUGUAGCGGUGGAAUGCGUAGAGAUCCGGAAGAACACCGGUGGCGAAGGCGGUCUGCUGGGCAGUUGCUGACGCUGAUGCGCGAAAGCGUGGGGAGCAAACAGG